rnacentral:rRNA from 1 species
UGGGGAAUUUUGGACAAUGGGCGCAAGCCUGAUCCAGCCAUGCCGCGUGAGUGAAGAAGGCCUUCGGGUUGUAAAGCUCUUUCGGCCGGGAAGAAAUCGUGUUCUCUAACAUAGGACAUGGAUGACGGUACCGGACUAAGAAGCACCGGCUAACUACGUGCCAGCAGCCGCGGUAAUACGUAGGGUGCGAGCGUUAAUCGGAAUUACUGGGCGUAAAGCGUGCGCAGGCGGUUUUGUAAGACAGAUGUGUAAUCCCCGGGCUUAACCUGGGAACUUCGUUUGUGACUGCAAGGCUGGAGUACGGCAGAGGGGGGUGGAAUUCCACGUGUAGCAGUGAAAUGCGUAGAGAUGUGGAGGAACACCGAUGGCGAAGGCAGCCCCCUGGGCCUGUACUGACGCUCAUGCACGAAAGCGUGGGGAGCAAACA